UUAAACAAAAUACAUUUAAAUUAAGAUUUAAUUUAAAAUAUUAUUAGAAUUAAGAGUUAUAAAUUUAUAAAAAAUAAUUAAUUAAGUAGAAUUUUUAGUUAUUAUUAAAAUUUAUUUUUGUUGGGUAAGAAAAUUUAUUAAAUAUUUAGUUAGACUAGGAUUAGAUACCCUAUUAUAUAAUAAUUAUAUUGUUAUAUAGAUUAAUUGAUUUAAAGUUAAAUUCUGAAAAAUUAAAAAAGAUGGUAGUAAUUUAAUUAAUUUAGAGGAACUUGAUUAAUAAUUGAUAAUUCACGAUAAAUUUUACUUAUUUUUUUUUUAAUUUAUAUAUCGUUGUUAUAAAAAUUUUUUUAAAUGAUUUUAAAAUUUUAAUUCUUUAACUAUUUUGAAGGGUAAAUCAAAUCAUGAUUUAAUUUAUAAAUAAGAUUUAAAUUGAGUUACAAUAAAUUUAUUUAUUGGAUAGUUAAGUUGAAAAUUUAAUUAGAAAUUGGAUUUAAAAGUAAUUUGAUUUUAAUUAUAUUAAAUGAUUAUUAUUUUAAGUUAGGCACAUAUUGCCCGUCACUCUUUAUUUAAUGAAGAUAAGUCGUAACAAAGUAGAGGUACUGGAAAGUGUUUCUGGAAUUUA
rnacentral:rRNA from 1 species